rnacentral:rRNA from 1 species
CAGCCGCCGCGGUAACACGAAGGGGGCUAGCGUUGUUCGGAAUUACUGGGCGUAAAGCGCACGUAGGCGGAUAUUUAAGUCAGGGGUGAAAUCCCGCAGCUCAACUGCGGAACUGCCUUUGAUACUGGGUAUCUUGAGUAUGGAAGAGGUUAGUGGAAUUGCGAGUGUAGAGGUGAAAUUCGUAGAUAUUCGCAGGAACACCAGUGGCGAAGGCGGCUAACUGGUCCAUAACUGACGCUGAGGUGCGAAAGCGUGGGGAGCAAACAGGAUUAGAUACCCCGGUAGCCCUGUCUCUUAUACA